UUCUACUUUGAGGUGAUUUAAUUUUCCUGUGAUAUCACAACUUUCUUUCAGGUGAUUGUUGAGAAAGAAUUUGAGUUGCUGAAUUCUUUGAUGCUGCCAUGAAAUUAGCCGUUCACGGAGGCUGAAAAUUUAGGUAUUCACAUUGGAAGAGACAGUAAUGUCCACAACAUUGUUUUGCCUUUCAUGGCUUUGGUCAAAAUAGAAGAAUAAGGUUGGUGUUCAAAAUUUAAUCGAUCAACUGGGAUAUCAAAGCGCCACUAAAACUAUAAUCGACGAUAACGGUCAUCGUGGAGUCUCUGUUGGUCAAAGACAGCCGCGAGUUUCAAUCAAAAUUGAAAAGCGUAUGCUAAGGUUGAAGAGGAACGAAAGAUGAGACAGAGAUUGAAGUAGAUGCACAUUCCGCAGUUCUCAACGGAUUCAGGUUCAGGAGUGCGUCGUGAAGGAUGAUUUGAGACAAUUUGGUGGUGAAAUUUCACAUUUGACGACUUUGGAGAUAAUUUUUGUUCAGAUCAUACAUUUCUGCCCUUUUCCUUCAAGUUUUUGGGUUUAUUUGUUUUUUCCCUUGAGGUACUAUUUUAAUUUACUUUUAAUGUAUUUUUUGUUUUGAAAUUUUCAUGCAGGUUGGAGAAAGUAUCUUGAAGGUAGGUGGUUCCUUGCAAGAGACUAUUGGAGUGUAAUUGGGGCUCAAAAUCAAAAUCAGAAUACCAAAUUAUGUUUACUGGUGAAUUACAGAGAAAUACUUCCGUCAGUAUAAAAAGAAUUUUUGUCUGAGGUACCCUGAACCCUCUCCAUAUAUUGUUUGUUUGAAAUGGAAAAGGUUGAGCUUGGGACUACAACUACUUCUCAGUUGGAACAAUGAAUUCAGGAAUACAAGUUUGGUGCACAAGACACUUCGAUCUUGGAGCUGAGUAUGAAAGUGAAAGUUAACAAUAUUUGGACUGUCGAGAGAACUACAAGGGAGUGAAAAUUGUAAGUGCUAAUGAUAGUGCUAAAAUCAUUGAGAAGAUUCACUGUAGCAAAGGCAGAACAGAAAUUGUGACUCUAUGUUUCACCAUGAUGAGGAAAUAGAAACCAUGAGUAUCAUUGAUGCUAGAUUGUUUCUUCUAUGUUUCACGAUUGGUGAGGAAAUAGAAACCACGAGUAUUGUUGAUGUUAGAUUGUUCUUUUAUUAAUCUAAAUCUAAAGACUUCAAUUUUCUUCA